GACGAACGCUGGCGGCGUGCUUAACACAUGCAAGUCGAACGCUGAAGCUCAGCUUGCUGGGUGGAUGAGUGGCGAACGGGUGAGUAACACGUGAGUAACCUGCCCCCUUCUUUGGGAUAACGCCCGGAAACGGGUGCUAAUACUGGAUAUUCACUGAUCUUCGCAUGGGGGUUGGUGGAAAGGUUUUUUCUGGUGGGGGAUGGGCUCGCGGCCUAUCAGCUUGUUGGUGGGGUGAUGGCCUACCAAGGCUUUGACGGGUAGCCGGCCUGAGAGGGUGACCGGUCACAUUGGGACUGAGAUACGGCCCAGACUCCUACGGGAGGCAGCAGUGGGGAAUAUUGCACAAUGGGCGAAAGCCUGAUGCAGCGACGCCGCGUGAGGGAUGGAGGCCUUCGGGUUGUAAACCUCUUUCGCUCAUGGUCAAGCCGCAACAUUGGUUGUGGUGAGGGUAGUGGGUAAAGAAGCGCCGGCUAACUACGU
rnacentral:rRNA from 1 species